UUCAUUCUCUCUCUCUAUCACUCACCCUCACAGGGCCACUACAAUCAGAGCUCUCUCUCUCUCUAACCAGAGCAACACUGGAGACAUUCGGUCUCAUACUCGCUCAUCAAACCAGGUAAAGGGAAGGCAAUACUUGGACGACAAUGAUUGGACGACAGGUAGACGGUUGCUUCAAAUGCAUGUAUGGUUGAGUGGAUGAUUGCUGCACUGAUGUCGACGAAUACAAGGAAUCUUUUCUUUUACUGUUAAAGGUUUGUCUUAUAUGGAUGGAUAUUGGCAGAGAGUGUCGGUGAGGUAUUUGCUGUUAUAUCAACAGGGGAUCUUUUAUCAUAUCAAAGCAUCGUCUGUUAUAUCAGGGCAUCUUCUGUCAUAUUAUGACAUCUUGUCAUAUCAUGGCAUCUUCUGUCAUAUCAUAGCAUCUUCUGUCACAUCAGAUAUAAAGGUAUGCUUAUCGGUUUUAUGAUUUUAAUACAGUAAUUGUUUUUUGGA